UACGUAGGGUGCAAGCGUUGUCCGGAAUUAUUGGGCGUAAAGAGCUCGUAGGCGGUCUGUCGCGUCGGCUGUGAAAACCCGGGGCUCAACUCCGGGCCUGCAGUCGAUACGGGCAGACUAGAGUGCGGUAGGGGAGACUGGAAUUCCUGGUGUAGCGGUGAAAUGCGCAGAUAUCAGGAGGAACACCGGUGGCGAAGGCGGGUCUCUGGGCCGUAACUGACGCUGAGGAGCGAAAGCGUGGGGAGCGAACAGG
rnacentral:rRNA from 1 species